GCUGGGAUUACAGGCAACGUGCCAUGGCACCCGGCCUUUUUAUUCUAAUUUUAAUAGAUGAGCUAGUAUGUCAGCACCAGUUUUGAACUCAUCCUUUGUGCACUGAUCUAUAACAGUAGCUUUUUCAUAUACUAAGUUUGCCUACAUAUAUUACGUACUCACUUUUAUUUACAUUUAGGAAAUUUUCUGUAUCAGCAAAAAUCCCUGAAACCAAAUGGUGCCAGAAGUGUUGUGUUGUAAGAAAUCCUUACACGGGCCAUAAAUACCUAUGUGGAGCACUUCAGACUAGCAUUGUUCUAUUAGAAUGGGUUGAACCAAUGCAGAAAUUUAUGUUAAUUAAGCACAUAGAUUUUCCUAUACCAUGUCCACUUAGAAUGUUUGAAAUGCUGGUAGUUCCUGAACAGGAGUACCCUUUAGUUUGUGUUGGU
rnacentral:lncRNA from 10 species